AUUGAACGCUGGCGGCAGGCUUAACACAUGCAAGUCGAGCGGAGAUGAGGUGCUUGCACCUUAUCUUAGCGGUGGACGGGUGAGUAAUGCUUAGGAAUCUGCCUAUUAGUGGGGGACAACAUUCCGAAAGGAAUGCUAAUACCGCAUACGUCCUACGGGAGAAAGCAGGGGAUCUUCGGACCUUGCGCUAAUAGAUGAGCCUAAGUCGGAUUAGCUAGUUGGUGGGGUAAAGGCCUACCAAGGCGACGAUCUGUAGCGGGUCUGAGAGGAUGAUCCGCCACAGGGGGACUGAGACACGGCCCAGACUCCUACGGGAGGCAGCAGUGGGGAAUAUUGGACAAUGGGGGGAACCCUGAUCCAGCCAUGCCGCGUGUGUGAAGAAGGCCUUAUGGUUGUAAAGCACUUUAAGCGAGGAGGAGGCUACUGAGACUAAUACUCUUGGAUAGUGGACGUUACUCGCAGAAUAAGCACCGGCUAACUCUGUGCCAGCAGCCGCCGUAACAC
rnacentral:rRNA from 1 species